rnacentral:rRNA from 1 species
AUUGAACGCUGGCGGCAUGCCUUACACAUGCAAGUCGAACGGCAGCGGGGGAGAAGCUUGCUUUUCCUGCCGGCGAGUGGCGAACGGGUGAGUAAUACAUCGGAACGUGCCCUGUAGUGGGGGAUAACUAGUCGAAAGAUUAGCUAAUACCGCAUACGACCUGAGGGUGAAAGUGGGGGACCGCAUGGCCUCAUGCUAUAGGAGCGGCCGAUGUCUGAUUAGCUAGUUGGUGGGGUAAAGGCCUACCAAGGCGACGAUCAGUAGCUGGUCUGAGAGGACGAUCAGCCACACUGGGACUGAGACACGGCCCAGACUCCUACGGGAGGCAGCAGUGGGGAAUUUUGGACAAUGGGCGAAAGCCUGAUCCAGCAAUGCCGCGUGUGUGAAGAAGGCCUUCGGGUUGUAAGGCACUUUUGUCCGGAAAGAAAUGGCUCUGGUUAAUACCUGGGGUCGAUGACGGUACCGGAAGAAUAAGGACCGGCUAACUACGUGCCAGCCGCCGCGGUAA